UUUUUUUUUUUUUUUUUUUUUUUGAGAUGGAGUCUCGCUCUGUCGCCCAUCGCCCAGGCUGGAGUGCAGUGGCCGGAUCUCAGCUCACUGCAAGCUCCGCCUCCUGGGUUCACGCCAUUCUCCUGCCUCAGCCUCCGGAGUAGCUGGGACUACAGGCGCCUGCCACCUCGCCCGGCUAGUUUUUUGUAUUUUUUAGUAGAGUCGGGGUUUCACCGUGUUAACCAGGAUGGUCUCGAUCUCCUGACCUCGUGAUCCGCCCGUCUCGGCCUCCCAAAGUGCUGGGAUUACAGGCUUGAGCCACCGCGCCCGGCCCCUUUCUUUCUUUUUUUUUUUUGAAGGAGUUUCUCUGUUUUCCAGGCUGGAGUGCAGUGACUAGAUCUCAACUCACUGCAACCUCCGCCUCUUGGGAUCAAGUGAUUCUCCUGCCUCAGCCUCCCAAGUAAGUGAAAUUACAGGUGCUCACCACCAUGCCCAGCUAAUUUUUUUGUAUUUUUAGUAGAAACGGGGGUUUCAUCAUGUUGGCCAGGCUGGUCUCGAACCCCUGACCUUAGGUGAUCUGCCCUCCUUGGCCUCCCAAAGUGCUAGGAUUACAGGCAUGAGCCACUGUGCCUAGACCAUUAUUUGAGUUUCUAAACCAUAUUACUUUCUACUUAAAAAAAUAAAUUUACCUGAAAUUAAAAUGCAGAUUCAUGGGCCCAUCCCUGGAGAUUUGUACUUAUUUAGCAGGGGAAGAAUCUGCAUUUUAAAUGAACAUCCCAAAUUUGAGAAACAAAUCAAUGUAGCCCUUUUCUGUGCUUAUUCUAAAGAUAAUUUUUUCAAAGACACUUUUGGAGGUUUAAAAUUUUUCUUCUAAUUUUACUGUUCUCAUUUCUUCCUUGGCUUCAAGUUUCUUGAUAAUGUAUAAAUAGGUAUAUAUGUGCAAUUUAAAAACAUUUGUCCUUGAGUGUGUCUAUUUUUCCAUCUUUUGUGUGCCUCCUUUUAUAACAUAAGCUCAUUUGAGAACUCCUUAUAAGGUCACAUCAUCUUUAGAUUCAUUCUCCUUCUAUUUUACUUGGGGAUUAUUUUUUGUUGUAUAGUGAAAAUUUUAUUUUUGAGAACUUCCCACUUCUUAAUACAAGCUUCUUUUCUAGGGUCUCAGUCCACAGGUUCAUAACAACAUUUUCUCUGAACUUAAUUGCCUCAGAUUACUUAGGCAUCAAGGGUUGCUUGAUUUUAAAUUUGUUGUCUUUGUCCUAAAUUUAGGAGAUGCCUCUCAGUCUAAUUCUUGCCUUAUCAUGCCACAGGACACAAUAAUAUAGUGUUUUACUAAUUCUCCAGGGUGUUACAACUUUAAAGUUCUGACAAAGGAGAGUGCCCUCUGACAGAUUACUGUAGCCUAACCCGUGACCUCCAUGCUGAUGUCAAAAAACAAAUGCUAAAUCAAUCUAAAACAUUCAUUUUAAAUUGGAAGCAAAAUAUCUAGCUCAGAAUUAAAGGAAUUCGCCUGAAUAUUUGGGAAAAUAUAAAUCUUUUACUUAAUGAAUAUUCUUUAAAUUUCUACUAUGAAAUUCUCACUCAUGAUUGUUGGACACACAAAAAGAAAUAUUUCAUGUCUAUCUGACUAAAGGAAAAUAUUACUUCUGAUGAUUCCUGUUGCUGUAUUAAUAUUUUUAAUAUUUUAUUUGGUUAGUACAUUUUAUUAUUUUCGUAAAUUCAAGAUUCCUAUAAUACAGAUAAAGCAAUGGGCACACAUGAAAUCAAGCUGAGAAAAUGUGCUUCUGAUGUUUGAGGUAUUUUUGUUUUAGUUUAAUCAAUUUGACCAUU
ensembl:lncRNA